GCCACUGGAAGCAGUUCUCUCCGGCCAGAUCGUGGACUCAGACACGGUCCACCAAAGCAAUGCUCCCCUUCAGCUGCGGAAGGAGAACCGAGGACGGGAGUGCGGCUGCCGUGAGGGAGCUGACAAAAGUUGCUGGCAUUCACCGGGUUAAAAGCUGUAGCGGCACGGGAGUACAACUUCCUGAAAUUCCUGGCUGUGUCAAGUGUGACACUUCAGAUUUUUUUAGCAGCUUCAUCAUGUCACAAGAGCGAUCUGCUCUGUGUUGAAGAUCAUGUUUGAGAUUGAGGCUUCAGAUGAGUAAAGUUGAGGAUUGUGACCAGGAGAGGGAGGGUAAGUAGGUGUCUGGUUAAGAAUUAUUGGGGGGGGGGGUUUGAAGGCAUCAGAGUGAGAAAUGGUUUCUAUUUGAGGGCCCCCCAAGGUUUUUCACAAGCAUUGCAGAGGCAUUUAUGUGUUUUGUACCACCCCAGCUCAUCUACUGCACUCAUAGAAAUGCUGUGUAACUUUGGCUCUCUCUAACCCAGGUACUAGUCAUAAGAGCUAUAGCCUCAGACUCGAGAUGAAGCUGGAGCCUUGAGGACCUAGGCAUACUUAGGAGAGGUCAAGUAGCUGACUCGCUGGGAUUUGGCCCACAUAACACUACAGUCAUGCAUUGAUUUCGGUGUUCUUUAUUGUUCACUAAGAGGAUAACCGGCAAUCAUGAGGCCUUCUGAGGCUGACUCACUUCAGGUCCAACGUGGAUUCAUGUCGCCAGUCAUCCAAAAGAUAAGUCGGGGGCCACGGCCUGAAGAUGGGAUGAUCAUUUAGUAGAGGACUGGAAAUUCCUGGGACAGAUUUAAAAAUUAGCAGAGGGGAAAGGGAUAUCCUCUAAGGGGCUUUUAGGACAGCUAAAGGAGGAGGCCAUACUUUUGAUUGCAGCUGUAGGGUGUGCAGUGCAGAACAGUUCCAGUCUGUGUUGUGUUGUCCGGUGUACUGUGUUUCCUAGCGUGUCGUGGAGGUGCCUCGGAUCAGGUACCUCUGCCUUUUCUCCCACGAUCUCUAGGUUCUCGAACGCUCGCGCUUCUCGGCACGACGCCGAUACGGUUCGUUCUUUUCCCAGCGGGCUCGGCCAUGUCUCCGGGUCGCAAUUCAGAAGCAUCGAGUCAGAUGACUUUUGAGGCCUUGCUUCCAGCAGUAUCACCAUCCAGCCUUUCCAGCCAUGAGUUGUAAUAUCCUGGCACUUACAAGUUUGCAGGGAUACGGAGAGCAUUCCAAAUGUAGCAUUGUCUC
rnacentral:lncRNA from 1 species